UUUUUUUUUUUUUUGCUAAGAAUGUAAAUAUUUCAUUAAAAAUGAAAAUGUUUAGGUUUACAAUCAUAGAUUAUAAUCCUAUAAAAAUGGUCCCAUGGCAAAAAAGAUAAAAACAUGGAAGCAUAAUUCAUAAAAAUGAUCUCAGUCUAUCCACUCAACAUAGACACGAGGAGUUUGACGAAGUGAUAACGAUAAAGGUGUUCUUCAGGAGUGCCAAGCUGAAGACGAAGAACGAGAACAGAUUGAAGAAGCCACAAUUCUCAAGCAAAAGACGCACUAGAAGCCUUUCAAUGGAGGUUCAGGACUAAGCUGUCAACGGCGAAGUUUACAGAGCCCUCGAUCACAUACGUCCCCGGCAUCAUGUGAGAGUGGCUCAUCUAACAACAUCCAUGAGCUUUCCUAGAAUGAAACCUCACAAACUAAAAACUGCAAACGGUGUGAGCUCCCCCUACCAAGUCCAUUCCCCGGAGUCAGCUAGUACAGAGCUAAAUACUCAUCUUAACACCACACCGUAAGCUAUUAGUCUUACUAGCUCCUCUAGCUCACCCAGCAAGCAAAAUAACAGGCAGAAACUUUCUGGUACACUAACUUCAACUCACAGCACCAGCAGCAACAAGACACAACCAAUAUCAGGGCAAAAAGCAAACAACGAAACAAGAAAUACCAGUAAUACUCACGAAAUGGAGAUGUUAUAAAGAACCACCACCGGUAGCCAAAACAUCCCAAAGCAGCAACACCGGAGCUCCUGAAAAGCUCAAAAAGGAGCAGCCAAGACAAUAAACAAUGCCCAACGCGUCAAAAAAGACACUCUCCUACAAGAUAUGCUGCUGUCUUCAGACAUAUUUGACCAACAGAGAAGCGUCCAAACGAUCGCCGAGCCUUAUUGUCGAGAAAGAAGACCUAAACUGAAGCUUACUAGAAGCAUUGUCAAGAAAACCUAUCCGAAGGAGAGAAGCUAGAGUGGUGAGGCUUCGACAUCUAAACGAGACGAAGUGAUAAGCCGAGAAAAACAAACACGACUCGCUCCGAAUCAGACAUCGAAUCCACUCGCAAGGCUAAGCUCCAAAGGACGAGAUCGAACCACACGGUGAAAACAGAGACUGCAAAACGUCAGGAAACAAACGCCGUCCUCAAGCGAAAUAGACCGUUUGAUAUCCCGUCUAAUCACCGGUUAAUGUGGGUCGAAACACGGCGAUCUCCGAAGCGCAGAGCUAAGGAGAAAUAGAAACCGUUGAAACACGGCAGAUCGUCACCACAGCUGUAGCAAAACCGCCGAGAGGUGUUUGGUCCGCCGCUAGGAAUCAAAGAGGUGGAGCCAGAUCUACAAGUAGAUCUCGCCGGUCGAAAUUGCGUGGCGAAGAGAGAGGAAAUCAAACUCCGUCGUAGCCUCAAGUCGUCGACUAGCGAGAGGGGUCAAAACGGAGGAGCACCCAUCCACCUCGAGAGGCCGACACGCACGGCGGAGCUCCAACCAAAGCGCCGCGAGAAAUCAAGACAAAUUCCUGAAACGAUCGAGAGCUUCAUGCGCAGAACCGAAACGACAAGCAAACAAACAGAAGCAAAAGAGCCCUCUCACGGCGUCGGUCGCAACCGAACACCGGAGAGGCAAGCAAGAUAGCGGCUGGUGAAAACUUUCGACGAUUAGGUUUUUGGCAAUCGCC
rnacentral:lncRNA from 1 species